rnacentral:rRNA from 1 species
GUGGGGAAUUUUGGACAAUGGGCGCAAGCCUGAUCCAGCAAUGCCGCGUGCCGGAAGAAGGCCUUCGGGUUGUAAACUGCUUUUGUACGGAACGAAAAGGCUCUGGCUAAUACCUGGAGCUCAUGACGGUACCGUAAGAAUAAGCACCGGCUAACUACGUGCCAGCAGCCGCGGUAAUACGUAGGGUGCGAGCGUUAAUCGGAAUUACUGGGCGUAAAGCGUGCGCAGGCGGUGCUGUAAGACAGGCGUGAAAUCCCCGGGCUCAACCUGGGAAUUGCGCUUGUGACUGCAGCGCUGGAGUGCGGCAGAGGGGGAUGGAAUUCCGCGUGUAGCAGUGAAAUGCGUAGAUAUGCGGAGGAACACCGAUGGCGAAGGCAAUCCCCUGGGCCUGCACUGACGCUCAUGCACGAAAGCGUGGGGAGCAAACAGGAUUAGAAACCCGUGUAGUCC